ACCCCACCUGAUAUGAUGGAAGUUGUCGAACCAGAUCAGAAGGCCUUUGAGUACCACCUUCAAGCACAGACUGAGAAGGAUGGAGGUUUUUGACCGGGUGAGCCUGAACAUCGAUAAGGCGCAGGAGGAGAGCUACCGGAGCAGAAUCAAGAAGGUGACCAGGUGCUAUGACAUCCGGGCGAAUUACUUGGUUUGGAAGAAGGACAAAAGGUGAGACCUGGGAAACCUCGCUGUUCUUUCGCUCCCAGCUGAGGUCACCAUCUGUUGAGGGUUACCUCGGUGGAAGCCAGCAAUCUUCUCCAGUUGGACGGUCAACCACUGAUGCCCUACACGUCGAUGAAGCCCAAUAGAUAAAGACCAUCGACUGUCCGAGCCCCCCAGGAGGUGUCCCAUCCACCAGAGCCAGUGAGUUUGGAUAAGAUUGAUUCUGUGCGCUCUGAGUCAGAGGGGGACCAGCUUGAGAUCCUAGGGGGUUCUGCAACACCCAGACGUGGAGCCACCUGAUGUCCUCCAUUACAUCAUCUGCAGCUACUGUUGUCAUGUCAUUAUCUGCUAAGAAUGUUCUUGCUAUCAUACUGGGCACAAUGAGAGAUACACAGAUUAACUUAAAACACUACCAACACUCAGAACAAAGAGAGGUUCUGCUUGGACUUUGCAGUCUCCCUAUUCAAGUCCACCUUCCGAGAAUGGUCUGUUGAGAACAAGCAAUAGACAGAACCUCCCAACCACCCUCCAUAUUCCAUACACCAGAAUUCAUUGUUUGUCUGCCAUGUGUGUACAAUUUUUUUGAAAUUUAAACUACAUGUGAAAAUAAAUUGCCUCAACUGCACCAAAAAACAAAACUGUUUUAAAAGGUGUAAGGUAUCCUUUGAUGGCAUUUAUUCAAUGUAUCCUAGGACCUACCAUGGAUACCUAAAUAUUCAACCACAAGGUUGUACUAAUGAGCUAUGCGAGGAAAAAAAACAAAAACAGGACUACUCAAAUUUCAGUGUAGAUAAAGAGAAAAGCAGGUUAAAAUAUAAACAUGACAGCCAGACAACCCAGUGUAU